AUAAAACGCAACGUAGGCCCUCCGUUGUAACGUAAGCUUGACUGGAAGAACGUUCGAGCGAGACGUGUUGUUUGAGCUCCCUAUAUUUAGAAACUCAUUGUUCUAGUUUUUGAGAUUCAAAGAGGAUCAUUUGUUACAAAAGGCUAUCCCUGCCAGUUUUUACUUUGUUUUAACUCAGAGAAGCCACUUUUAACUUGCUCUCCGAGAGAAGAAACCGCCAAGUCACUCAGCCGCAGUCGACAUUUUUUCUCCACUGUUAUUUUUGGGGUCGGAGAUGUGUGUAGAAGCAAUGGAUACCAGACCGAAACACAUUAAAACUGACUGCCAGCGUAAAGCCAUGAAGCCUGGAUCGAAGUUGAGGUGGAAACUGUUCCGUGUCGCCACAGAGGGGGACGAGGCCCUUAAACAGUGUCGAGCCAGCGCGGUGAGGGCGACCAUCCGAAAAUACCUCCAUCGGGAACAGAGGCGGACACAGCUGGCUAAACUCCACAAAGCCCUGGGAGACAUCGGAAAGAAAGAGAAAAGACAGUCCGUGUAUAAGGCGAAAGAGAAAAAGCAGUCAGUGUAUGAGGAAAGUCCCGCUGCGGCCUGUACGCACCGUCAACCAUCGGGAGCAAUGGCGCCGGAAAACACCACGCAGUACCUGAUGGGUAAUGUGUACGAAGACAUGAGGGCGAACAUCCAGACAGCUCCUGUUUCACAUGAAACAUCUAACGUUACACAUCUGUAUAAUGAAUCCCUUUUACCCAGUGUGUAUGCUGCAGUGGAAUCUGAUUAUGAGAGCUGCCUUGCCUUUCAACAGAGGGACUUCGAGGAAGCGUUUGACCUUUUUUGGUAACCGGAUUGAACUGGUCUAACGUUACGUGACGUUAUGAAAUUGGUCUGUCCUCUGCAGUGACUUUUCGAAAAGGGCGGUUAAAAGCGGCGCACUAGACGGUGCCCGCCCAGUAGGGAGCGCUCCUGAGCCCUGCGUGGCGCCGCCCAGAGGAACGAAUCGAACGCACCUCCACUCUCGCCUGGCCACGGUUUGUGAAAUCCAGGUAAACCCGGGCAGGUAUUGUGUUGCACUGCAUUGUCAUUGAUGGCAACAGUACAUUGUGAUGCGAUGUUGGGGCCGAAAGUGCUUUCCACAGUUACUGUUGUCUGAGCGUUUUCCAGGUCGCCCCUGCCCGGACACAUGGCUCUGCUGUGAGAGGAGCAGGAGACCAAGGAGGUCGGUCUUCACGUGACUGGCAUAAGGUGACAUUUAACGCCCUUUGGUUAAUCUUGACUGUUUGCAAGAAAUCCAAAUGUCAUGUGCGAAUAUUGUGCCAUCCAACAUUAGUGUGUAAUUGUAUUUAAACAAAUUAUAAGUGAUUUUAGUGUUUUUAAAGGUUAACUAUGUUGAAUAAAUGUGCUGUUAUACAAGAAA